rnacentral:rRNA from 1 species
AUGAUUAAGAAUGCACAACGUAACAAGCUGCUGGUUGGCUUAGCUGCGGAUUUGAUCCCUGAUGGAGUUGCGGUUCUCCAAUAUGCGGAUGACACUAUUAUCUGUCUCGAGCAUGAUAUUGACAUGGCAGUUAACCUGAAGUUGCUAUUGUACAUGUUUGAAAUGAUGUCAGGUUUGAAAGUUAAUUUUCAAAAAAGUGAGAUUUUGACUAUGGGGGGAGAUGAUGAUGUUACUAAGCAAUAUGCAGAUCUUUUCAAUUGUGAUGUUGGGAGCUUCCCCAUCAAAUACUUGGGUAUGCCUGUUAGUUAUACCACUUUGAGAAACUCUGACUGGGAAUUCAUUGUAUGCAAAUAUCUGAAAAUAUUUGAAGCUUGGGUGGGCAAUGCUGCCUCCAUGGGAGGGAGACACACCCUUCUAGACUCUGUUGUCACCCAGUUAUCUUUGUAUCAUAUGUCUAUGUGGUUGAUGAACAAAACUUUCAUUGAGAAACUGGAUAAGCAUAGAAGAAGAUUCUUCUGGCAAGGUUGUAACAAAAAAAAGAUAUUAUCUUGUGAAAUGGAGCAGGAUCUGUAG